UACGGAGGGUGCAAGCGUUGUUCGGAAUCACUGGGCGUAAAGGGCGCGUAGGCGGCUUGGGAAGUCCGAUGUGAAAGCCCGGGGCUCAACCCCGGAAGGGCAUUGGAAACUCCCCGGCUUGAGUUCGGGAGAGGGAGGCAGAAUUCCCGGUGUAGGGUUGAAAUCCGUAGAUAUCGGGAGGAAAACCGGUGGCAAAGGCGGCCUUCUGGAGCGAAACUGACGCUGAGGCGCGAAAGCGUGGGGAGCAAAC
rnacentral:rRNA from 1 species